CCAACAGGGAUUGCCUCAGUAACGGCGAGUGAAGCGGCAAAAGCUCAAAUUUGAAAUCUGGCCCUUUCAGGGUCCGAGUUGUAAUUUGUAGAAGAUGCUUCGGGCGUGGUGCCGGUCUAAGUUCCUUGGAACAGGACGUCAUAGAGGGUGAGAAUCCCGUAUGUGACUGGCCACCUACGCCCAUGUGAAGCUCUUUCGACGAGUCGAGUUGUUUGGGAAUGCAGCUCAAAAUGGGUGGUAAAUUUCAUCUAAAGCUAAAUAUUGGCCAGAGACCGAUAGCGCACAAGUAGAGUGAUCGAAAGAUGAAAAGCACUUUGGAAAGAGAGUUAAACAGUACGUGAAAUUGUUGAAAGGGAAGCGCUUGCAAUCAGACUUGCGCCUGGGCGAUCAUCCGGGGUUCUCCCCGGUGCACUCGUUCAGGCUCAGGCCAGCAUCGGUUUCGGUGGUGGGAUAAAGGCCCCAGGAACGUAGCCCCUCUCGGGGGGUGUUAUAGCCUGGGGUGCAAUGCCGCCUACCGGGACCGAGGACCGCGCUUCGGCUAGGAUGCUGGCGUAAUGGUUGUAAGCGACCC
rnacentral:rRNA from 1 species